UACGUAGGGGGCAAGCGUUGUCCGGAAUCACUGGGCGUAAAGCGCGCGCAGGCGGUCAUCUACGUCUGGGGUGAAAGCCCGGAGCUCAACUCCGGGACUGCCUUGGAUACGGGAUGACUUGAGGAUCGGAGAGGCAAGGGGAAUUCCACGUGUAGCGGUGAAAUGCGUAGAUAUGCGGAGGAACACCGAUGGCGAAGGCAAUCCCCUGGGCCUGCACUGACGCUCAUGCACGAAAGCGUGGGGAGCAAACAGG
rnacentral:rRNA from 1 species